CAGCUGGGCUGGCUGGGAAUGCGGUGGGACUGGGAACCCUGCAGAUACAAUCUGGAAUUUGGAAACCAGGCAGAGUCCCUGGUCCCAGACGGAGCUUGUGGCGACAACAGCUAUUUCCAGAGAGAGAGAGAGAGCAUACAUAUGGUGGGGGGGCAGGGCAGAAGGAAAGGGAGAGACAAAAUCUUAAGCAGGCUCCAUGCUCAGCAUGGAGAGCAAUGCAGAGUUCAAUCCCACAACCCUGAGAUCAUGACCUGAGCUGAAAUCAGGAGUUGGAUACUCAACUGACUAAGCCACCCAAGCACCCAUUCUUUUUAUACCUAGGCCUGGUAUUUUAGGUCAUGCCUUCUAUUUUAGGUCAUUUAUUAUCAGUUCAAUUUCUUCAGUGGACAUAGGUGUAUUGAGAUUGUCUAUUACAUGACAUUUUGAUAGGAAGAGUUCAUUCCAUCCCUUUUGUUAAGAUCUUUCAGGGACUUCAUAUUUACCUUCUAAGUUUGGCAUGUACCUUUUAGUCUGCUGUCAUUUCUUUUAACAUUCCAACUUUCUGAAUAUCUUACUACUCUUACUACUUGCAUUUUCUGCAAAAUAUCAAGCUCUGUCAUAUGCCUAUGUAUGCAUAAGGACUUUUCUGUGUUCCUAAAGUAUCCUUUUCUAAUUUGUAUUUAUCCUACUAAACUCAGCUUUCCAUAGAAGCCUUUCCUGAUAUCUCCUGGUAAUUUACCUGCCCCAUUCAUCUUCUACAAUAGAAAAAUGAAAUUGUCCUUUAAAAUUAUAAGGAAAAAAACAAGAGUUUAAAGUUAUUUUAAAUUUUCAAUGUAAUUCAAGAUGUACAAUGAAAUAAAGUAUAAAAUACUGACCUGGUUGUAGAUUGUUUCCUUUAUAAAUUCAGUAUCAAAGACAGAUAGACACAUUUUGACACAGCAUAUCAACAAUGAUAUAAACACCGAACAAUAAAAUAUCAUUUCAAGAUAAACGUUAAGUCUAUAUCAAGACUGAAGGCAAACUCUAGUACUCAUUUAGGUAUACUUAGAUGCUUAGAUAUAUCACUUUCUUAGAAGUGUUUGUAUAUGAAACAUUUGAGUCUUUUGUUUAUUUUUAUUUUUCCGAAUGGUUAACAGCUUAAACUCUUGAGUUAUACAGACUUGGGGUAGACACCAAAUUACAUUCUGUGAGACCUUGGGCAAGUGAUUAAACCAUCUCAAUUUCCUUAUGGGAUAAAAAUAAAUAGUAACUAGUGGCGAUGGUAACAUUACUUGAAUUAUUAAAAAUAAUGUCAUUAUAUAGGCCUCUCUUUCCCUCAUGUACGGUGUUUGAAAAAAAUUUUGUUUUACCAUGAGUCCUAGUACCCUGCAAAUAAUAACCCAUUGAACCCCUCCUCUAACACCAUUUUUCCUUACUUUUUUAUAAUUGCCAAAACAGUAGAAUAUGGGCUAGAUGGAGCAACAUUUCAAGUAGAGUAAUCAUUCUGAGUCAGAAACUUUCCUUUUAGUCAUUUUUAAAAAUAAAUCAUGUCUAGAAAAAUAAUUGCUCAUAAUUAUAGGUCCCCUAGACACACUUUGUAGGGAAACAUAAAUGGUUUUGAGUAUUUCAGAGAUGUGGAUGUGAGAAGACAGGUAAGACAAAGAUUUGGAUCACCAUCCUCAUAUGUGAUAUUAUGUGCUAAAAUGUGUUCUCCGAAAGUCCAUACAUUGAAGUCCUAACUCCCACCCCCAGGACCUCAGAAUGUAACUGUAUUUGAACAGGGUCUUCCCCCCACCCUUCCUACCCUUUUUUUUUCUUUUUCUUUACCUUUUUUUUUUUUUUUUUUUGAGACAGGGUCUUUAAAGAGGUAAUUAAGGUAACAUGACGUCAUUAGGGUGGGUCCUAAUCCAACAUAACAGGUGUCCUUGUAAGAAGAGGAAAUCUGGAUAUAGAUGCAUACAGAGAGAAGAUAAUGUAAAAACACAGGAAGAAGAUGGUACUUACAAGUCAAGGAGAGAGGCCUGGAACAGAUUCUUCCCUCAGGCUCCUUAGAAGAAACCACCUCUGCUGACUCUUGAUCUUGGACUUCUCACCUCCAGACUGUAAGAAAAAUAAACUCUGUUAUUUAUUUAUUUAUUUAUUUAUUUAUUUAUUUAUUUAUUAUUUA
rnacentral:lncRNA from 1 species